rnacentral:rRNA from 1 species
UAAUACGGAGGGUGCAAGCGUUGUCCGGAUUUAUUGGGUUUAAAGGGUGCGUAGGCGGCUCCAUAAGUCAGCGUUGAAAUACGGCAGCUUAACUGUCGGACUGGCAUUGAUACUGUGGAGCUUGAGUAAAGUUGAGGUAGGCGGAAUUGAUGGUGUAGCGGUGAAAUGCUUAGAUAUCAUCAAGAACAUCGAUUGCGAAGGCAGCUUACUAAGUUUUAACUGACGCUGAGGCACGAAAGCGUGGGGAUCGAACAGGAUUAGAUACCCUGGUAGUCCACGCUGUAAACGAUGAUUACUCGAUGUUGGCGAUAUACAGUCAGCGUCCAAGCGAAAGCGUUAAGUAAUCCACCUGGGGAGUACGACCGCAAGGUUG